UUNCAUGGAUUUUAGCCUAUGGUGAGCAGCCC
rnacentral:piRNA from 1 species